rfam:Tupaia chinensis contig73308, whole genome shotgun sequence.
AGCUUUGCGCAGUGGCAGUAUCGUAGCCAAUGAGGUCUAUCCCAGGCGCGAUUAUUGCUAAUUGAAAUAAUAGUGAGACCACAGUUAACUGCUGUAGAUGGGCAAUGUAUAAAGUUGCAAGUAAAUUCAUGGUAUAGCAGCCGUU